rnacentral:rRNA from 1 species
AUGAUUGGUUCUUUAUUGUAUUUAUGUGCAUCUAGGACAGAUAUAAUGCUUAGUGUUUGCAUGUGUGCCCGAUUUCAAGGUACACCGAAGGAAUCACACCAUAAGGCUGUGAAGCAUAUUCUUCGAUAUCUAGCUCACACACCAACACUUGGAUUACGGUACCCCAAGGGCUCGGCUUUUGAUCUCACUGGAUAUUCUGACUCUGACUAUGCUGGUGAUCGUGUGGACCGCAAGUCAACAUCUGGUACAUGUCGUUUCCUCGGACGAUCUUUGGUCUGUUGGUCCUCGAAGAAACAGAACUGCGUAUCACUGUCUACUUCUGAAGCUGAGUACAUUGCUGCUGGUUCUUGCUGUGCUCAAUUGCUGUACAUUGCGUCAACGUGA